rnacentral:rRNA from 1 species
UAACGCGAAGAACCUUACCUGGUCUUGACAUAGUGAGAAUCCUGCAGAGAUGCGGGAGUGCCUUCGGGAAUUCACAUACAGGUGCUGCAUGGCUGUCGUCAGCUCGUGUCGUGAGAUGUUGGGUUAAGUCCCGCAACGAGCGCAACCCUUUUCCUUAUUUGCCAGCGGGUUAAGCCGGGAACUUUAAGGAUACUGCCAGUGACAAACUGGAGGAAGGCGGGGACGACGUCAAGUCAUCAUGGCCCUUACGACCAGGGCUACACACGUGCUACAAUGGUAGGUACAGAGGGUUGCUACACAGCGAUGUGAUGCUAAUCUCAAAAAGCCUAUCGUAGUCCGGAUUGGAGUCUGCAACUCGACUCCAUGAAGUCGGAAUCGCUAGUAAUCGUGGAUCAGCACGCCACGGUGAAUA